AUGAUCUGCAGACACCAGCUUUGGCGACACAGGCCUGUGCCUGGAAGGGCAGGCCAGCAGCAAGACACCCAGGGUUAUGCAAAUCCCAGUGGAUGGAGCCAGCUCUCAGUAUGCCUCAGGAGAGGAUCUCAAGCUCCCAGUGUGAGAGAGGUGCAAGGAGUUGCACACCAAGCUGGACGCCAGCUCUACCACCCUUGGGCACCAUGUAACUGCCUGUGGAGCCAUGAAGCACCAUCAGAGUUUUUUUGUGGAAACAAACCCCCCCAGUCAUUAGUGCAGAUCAUGUUAAACAUAACUAGUUCUUGCAGCAUGAGCAAUGCCCAGCCCGCAGUGGUGGGGGACCAGCCCAUAUCAGGGUCAGACAGUGCCCAAGCAUUGAUAUGGCCGAGGGCUCACCAGGGCAGCGCAGCAGGUCACAGGUCCUUGACUCUGUUGCUGUGCAGGCGUAGCCACAGGACCGGGUCCUCUUCUGGUUGCCACUGCCACAGGUGAUGCUGCAAGGGGACCAUGGGCUCCACUCCUCCUCAUCUUCAUAGUCUGUGCACAACAGGGGGAGGCAGAGAGCGGUGGACUUCAGCAAAGCCUCAGCAGGAGUGGAGCCAGCAGCCACCCAAAACCUCCCUCAACUCUGCCCUGUCCCUGGGAUGCCCUUCACAGGGACACAGGGCCAGAGCUGCACAGGGCACACUGAGGUGCCCAGUCACAUGAUGCCAAGGGCCAACCCUGUCCUCUCUGGCAACCCUAGGGAAGCAGCUCCCGAGCAAAGGCUCUCAUUCUCACAGUUUUGCUCAUGGUUGUACUGACCCAGACAGGCAUCGCUGCCCAUCCCCAUCCUCACUGAACCUGCCCAAUGCACUGGCCACGAUGCUGAAGCAUCAUGUGUUAGCAAAGGUUGACUGGUUUUGGGCUCAUGGCUGGGAAGCUGCAGGAGGGAACUGUUGUGGUGCGUGGUGCCCUGGCCUGUCUGCCCAUCGGCACCUGCCAUCUAGCCCUCUGCAGCUCCUCUCCUGGGAGGUGCCCAGGUCUGUGGCAAAGGCUUCUGGCACUGGUGUCACCGCAGGGACCCGAGUUGAUGGCAGCAGCACUUGCCAUUAAACAUUUACACUGUAUUUCUCAUCUGAGCAUGCCUUUGCUAGAGUCCAUGCUCCAGUCUGAUUACAUGCAAGGGCAAUUCCCGCUGAGAUGCUGGCGUGUCUGACUGCUGGCAGCCCCACCUGGGUGCCAGCCUUCCUCCUUGGCAUGCUUGCUUAUUUUUUAAGUAGGAGCUGAGCACCAGCAUGCUGUGAUCUCUG
rnacentral:lncRNA from 1 species